GCAGGCGUCUGCGCAGAAAGUUAUACGCGACCUACGUGCUGUUGACGCGCAACUAAACACUAUACAUAAACCAACGGGAGGUGCUGUUUGGUCACAGCACGGUCAGACCAACGCCAUCUUCAGACCAGCUCACGGAGAACGAAAAGAUUACCAUGAAGAUUACUGUUACCCUCCUGUUCUUGGCGUUGGCAGUAGCCCUGGCCUUGGCUGAUAAAAGCCAUAAAGGCGACGACGAACACACUGAUGGCUUUGAUGUGUAUGGUGACGAAAAGGGGCACGGACUCAAGAAAACUCUCAGUGGACCGCGCGGGGUAUACGACAAUGUCCGUGUUGGAUGCCGCGAGGGAUAUGGGCUCGAGCAAGUGGGCUACGGCCGCGACAGGCAAUAUGGGAGCCCAAGAUAUGUGCCAAGGCACCACGGAGGAUAUCUUCGUUUCUGAAGUCGCCGGGGGCUGGCGUCAUGCACAUGCGUAAGGAAUUGCCGUCGACAUGUUUACAACGACCUGUCCCGACAUACACAAUGCGCAUUAAAGUAUGCUGUACAGGCGAUGGCUUAGUCAAA